GUUUCUUUCCCUUUGACGGCUUCAAAUCAACAUUCUUAUCUUUGUUUACAGCCAAUUUUACAUCCACUUUUUUUGUUCUUCUGAUUCUUUCCAUUAACUUGAUUUUCCUUGCUUUUCCUCACAAGUUCAACCUCCUCAACAGAAGAGCUAGGGCCCUGUCCAACAUCAUCAGAACUCUGUUCCUUAUCCUCAACACCAUUUUG
rnacentral:misc_RNA from 1 species